UCUGACUCAUCAACCACCAGGUGCUGCUUCCUGGUCAGCGUAAUUGACUUCAGCAUUAUCGUCUGAAACGUCAACUUCUAUCUUCCUGACCUUUUUGCUGGGAGUCUCCGAUGUCAGAGACAGUGCCCUAUUCACAUGGGACGACGCGGUGUUCACUUCGCGAGGAGCUUCGAUUUCAACAACAGAUGCAGUUGGGUGUGGGGGAUGGGACAUAGCACUUGAC